rnacentral:lncRNA from 1 species
UCGUAACAGCUUUAUUUGCAAUCGCCAAAAUAUGGAUAUAACCUACACAUCCCUAAACAAGUACAUGGUUAACCGUUGAUUGUUUUUCAGUGAUAUCUUUUAAGACAUCAUUUGUGCAGAGAAAAAAUAAAAUAAAAGGAAUUCUUAGAAGUGAAAAAAAUGCUGAUGACCCUGCCCCAUCUCAAAGCAACUAAAUUUGACUCUGGGAGUGGGAGCGGGGCCCAGGCAUCUGUUAGUCAUAGAAACUCCCUCCGGUGAUUUCAGUGGGCAGCCAGGUUUGAGGCCGGCUGCUGGAGACGCUAAGAGCAUAAACCACAUGAGGACAGGAAUAACAUCUCUUUGCCAGCCCGGUAUUCGCUGUAUCUGGCAUGGUGCCUGCAUACAGUAGGCAUCUGGUAUAUAUUUAGUAAUAUUAAAAAUGAGUGGCUAAGAUAGAAAUGAUCAAAGAUUGAGACCAAAUGUCACUUACUUUGUCGCCUGCUUGGAACCAAAGAGUCAAAUUAGGUACAAGAUAAAGUUCAGGUUAAGCCUCCAAACCCUUCCCAAUCUCCCCAAAGCGACUGUUGAAAAGCCAAGAAAUCCAUGAUUGCAUCAAUGGUCAUUGUUAUUCCCAUGAGUUAACAGAUAGAUACUUUGUCUCUAGGACAGUGAGAGCAAAAUCUCAUCUCCAGGUAAAUGAGGAUCUAGAGCCCCUGGCAGCAUCAGCCUCACCGGGGAUCUUGUCUGAAAUGCAGAUUCUCAGGCCCCCGCUCAAAACAACAGAAUCAGACAGAAUGUGCAUUUGAACAACAUCUCAGGUCAUUCACACCCUCUUUAAAGCUUGAGAAGCACCCAUCUAACCCAAGUGGUUGAGAGAACCAGCUGGCUCCAUGGGGAAGGUCCUCAGCCCAGGAGAUGUAAUAAAGGGUAGGAAGAGACCCUCAGAUGAGGAUGGGGGAAGCAGUGGAACCACAUCCAGAGACCAUGUCGCAGAGCUUUCUGACCUGCACAAAACCUCCAAAGCAUCUGAGGACCUGACUCCUUAACUGCUCAAGUGCAAGUAUUAAACUUGAAAGAUCAAUGAGCAGGUAAACCCAUACGGCAAAGGAGAAUAGCCUAUGGACACCAUAUAGUGUGUUUAUUUUUGCCCUGAAGGAUCUGGGUGAAGACAGUGCCCUGAAUAGGUACUGGGUGCCAUCCUGAGAUGGACUACAGAAUGUGGGUGUCUCUGAAUUACUGGUGGGGCAGCUGAGGCAAACUCUUUGGGUUUGCUCAGGGAGGCAGAGUGGAUGGGACUCCUUGCUCCCUCACCCACGUGGCCAGAGUUUUUUGAUCCCCACAUGAUGUCCAUUGAGCUGGGCACUCCCCUCACAGCACCAGAGAACAGCACUGAGACCCCUUAGAAACCCCCACUAGCCUGUCCCCACGUCUAGUAGUUUAGGUAGCAUGUCAGCACCCUUCCCAGCAUUUAUGAUUGGUGGCUAUUAUUUUCAUCACUUAUUUCAUCCUAAAAGCAGCCUUCUGUGGCCUUUGCCGACUGAAGGGGAUGGCUGUGGUUGUCUUUUUUCUCACAGGGAAUCUCACACCUGCAAGGAAAUGAUUUAUUUUUUGCACGUUCCAGAUACCCCUUAUGCAAAUUUCUCCAGAUUCCGAUUAUCACCUACACAGCCUUUCCUACAGAGUGGGUAACUGACGCCCACCAGAAGUUCACAGAGAACAGCUCCCAAACCAGGGUGAACAUCUAGGGAAGAGCUCAAACCUCAAUGCACUCCAAUUCUUAAGAGGCUCUCUGCCCUCCCAGUAACCUGCCAUAGCUACACAGACUCAGAAACACCAGAAUGGGAGAUCUCAGCCAGGAGGUAUGUUGCCACAAUUAUGCUUUGCCCUGCUUUUGCCCUUGACGAAAUUGCUUAAACUAUUUUCUGCUCUACACCAUCAUACACAGAAAACAUUUUUCAUGCCUGGGCUCUGGCUUGAGGCAGUUUCUGCAUUCUGCAAUCAGGAGGAAAUUGAUUAAUGUGAAUGUUUUAGCUGUGGUUGUUGUUUGUGUAUAAACUUUUGUUAAAACAAGUACGGCAGAAUAAAUGACCCUUAUGUAGACACCUAUUAAGGCACUAAAAGGCUUGGCUACAUUCAUCUGAGACGCGUACACAUAACGAGGGGAACAAUGAGGGGAUCAGCAGCUGCAAGGGGUUGAAUUGAACACUUCAACAAUGGAAAAGUUUUUCAGACCCAAAUACCAGCAAUCAAAGAGAAUUUUUGCAGAUAAUCCUGGAGAAAGAAAAUAAUAAAAUUAAAAAAAAAAAUGCUAGCCAACUUUGCACCAGUUAGCAUAAGGUGGCCAUCUGAAACAUGUCAGCUUAAGAGACGACGUACCACCAUUCUUUGGUCCAACUGCAGUAUUCAGAACUGUUUCCCCAAAUAAUCCCAGAUGGCAUGCCACAAAAUUUCAAUUCAUUUUAAAAGCUUUCUUUGCAGUUAUUAUGUGAUUGAAAGUGCAAAAGCAAGUUGCUAUUCUCAUGGCACUAUUUGCAUUGGCUAUUAUCCCCUAAAAUCCCCUUUAAACAGCUACAUUGUCAGCCCAUAGGCCUCAUUUAGAACUACAAAAAAGCCCAGAUUAAUUCGAUCAAAGAAAGAGCCAAGUACAAAAUGCACUUUUCAAACUGUAUCAGAGUGGGUUGCUUUACAGAUCGCUUCAGGGCAAGAACCGCAGGGGAAAGAAAGCCCCGAAAUAAAGCUUGGUUACGAAGCGAAAUAACUUGGUUUGGCUCCUUCUCUGAUUUAUCGGAGCACCUCGAGACAAAAUCUCCAAUUAAAAAUUCUUAGAGGGAAAUAUAUUUAAAUACAAAUGCUGACUCGGAUGCCCGCAAACGGCAGCAUCACGUUCAUACCCUUGCCUUUCGGCCACCAUUCUCCUCGUGUGGGUAACCUGGUUAGUCAGCAGGCAUCUCUGAAAUCUCACACAUUAAUAAGCCAAAGGACUCUGCACUGUAAACAUUUAUAUCCAGGUUUUUUUUAAUCCCAUCCCCAGAGGAAAUGUUGUAAGUUACCACAAAAUAAGGAUUUGCUGGGAAACAAAGGAAAAUGGAGGUGACAGGCUUUCUUUUCACAAAACAAAACUUGCUAGGGGUCAGGUGGAAUUUGGGGGUGCGAAGCUUGCCGCAAGCCCGCCUUCAGCAGGCAGGCUGAUGGGGCUGCCGCCGCGGUUGGUGGGUUGGAUUGAGUCUCACCUGGGGGUCUGGAGGUGGGGGAGAAAGCUGGGGUGAGCCAAGCUGAAGUGUGGGUUUCUUAGGGACGCUCCAUUGGUUUCCUAGGCAGGGUGAGCAGCGUCCGUUUCCACUGGAGAUGGUGUGGGGCGCUGCAGCCGGCCAGCUCCCUCCUCCCUCUCUGCCCGGAGCUGUUCCCCUCAGCCGCUGCUUUUGUGCGCUGAGAACAUUUUACUGAGAAGGGAUCGGCUGCACAAAGGUAGGGCUCCAGGACGUGUGCAGCAAGUUGUGCAAUUGCCUCUUCAGGGACCGAGCAGGGCCAGCUGCUACAAAUAUGAAAGUGAUUUGCACCAGGGAGGAAACAGGCAAUUCUGGCUGGGGGUUUCGGUUCAAUCUUUCACCCUGGGAGGGAUGAACUCCGAUUCCUGCUGUUGCCAAAACCACCCUGGAGACAAAAUGCAUCAUGCUGUUCUAAUCACAUCCCAUAUAAUGUUUGGGAAGGGCACGCUUAUCAAGGGGCUCCAACCAUUAAGCACUUGUCUCGAAAUUCUUGGUCACAUGCUCCGCUAGAAAUGCCCAGGGCUGUUAUUCAAAUGGCACAUAGGUGUUCACAAUCCCCACCAACCAAAUCUCAUAAUCAUCCCAAGAAUUAUCUAGAGAAAUCAAAUAUGGACAGGAAAGCCUGCAAAUUGGAAAAGGUACCCACCUCCCACCUUUGAAGUCAGGAAGACAGGGAAAGACGCAAAUGGUGAACACUUAUAGGAAAGGGAUUAUAUAGACUCAAUUGCUUUCAGUGAAGGAAAAUAUUCAGUGCCUCCCCCCGCCAAAUCCUCCAAAUUUGUUGCAGUCUUUUCCUGCAACAAAAUUGUAACUACAGAAACAUGGUACAAAGAAAAAUCAUUCUGGUUUUUCAAGAACUGGAAGAACUUUCUGAAAUUCUGCACACAUGAACCUGUAAAGGAAAAGGGAAAGACAACCACGUUUACUGAUUCCUUAUGAGAAAAUGACGUCACUGGCAGGAAACAGAUCCACAGUCAUUUGUUAGUGAGUUUCUAUAGACUGUUGCCUGUUUGGAAUGGAAAUGUUUCCUGUGAUGUUUUACAUAGGUCUCACUGGAGCCCUAACUGAAAACACAAUUACUUCCCUAGAUGGUAAAUGUUUGUCUAAUCAUAAUUCAAAAUUCUUCCAAGCAAAAUAAGAAAGGAAGAUCAGCACCAGGGGGCUUGUUGGAGUCUCUCUCGGUGCUUCCUUGCCCAAGGGUAACAAUGGAUAGACAAAUUGAGCAACCAAGUUAAGACAACUAAAGAAUCAGAUCCCUCGAGGAUGAAGGUCAAUGUCAGUCUACCAGCAAAGGAACUCAGACCAGCCAAGGGUCGACCAAGGGAGAGAGAGUUCUAGAAUGAGUGGUAGAGGGACAAGAAGAUGAAUAUCUAUUACAGCCAAGGGACAGGCUGCAGCACCAGAGACUGUAGACCAUUUUGCUAACUCUCUUACCUUAAAUCUUUUCAGAAAGGAUGGCUGGCCAUCAUCUCGUGAGGUACUGAACUCCUUUCUCAGGGAAGACAUCAAAAACAUCUUGAUGUUACAAAAAUGAAGGCCACGUGACAUCGUACAGUGUGAGAGCCAAAUAUGCUGGGAGGGUGCAACUGAUGUGAGAGAUGCCAGAGCAGAGCUGUUCUCAGCACCUCUUUCUUUUGUGCCGGUCCAGACCUUCUCAGUCUCACUCAUCCAGGCAAGUUGCAACUGGAGUGACUUUCUCCAUGUGGUCUCUGACCCACUUCAGGCACAUUAAAGCUGGUAGGUAGCACCUUGCUCCACGCCAAGCCAAGCUGCUCCAGGCUUCCCAAUUGACACCAAGGCCUGCUACACAGACUAUUCACACACAGACCCUCACAACCAGCUGCAGACUUUGCAGGGCCCAGUACAAAGUGAAAAUAGGAGACCCUUGUUCAAAAAGCUUUUUUUCUUUCUUCUCCAGGCUCUCCCUUGACCUGUCUUGGUAUGUUUUACCUGCUCUUUUUUGUCGUACUCCCUCAGGCAGACAGGCACACACCAGCUGAGUGCAGGCUCUCCCAUGUCUAGGGCACCACCCAGGACUGACUUAGGGCGCAAAGCCGGAGCUGAAACUAUCCCAGGGUGGCAGGGAAGAGAAGAGGCUGCCAUGAGCAGAAACUCCAAGCCCCCUCAACCCAUGCUUCAUGGUCCCUCAGGUUCCACUUGCAAAGCACAGAUUCAUAAAUAAAAUUAUUAAGAAUUUCCAGGCAGCAACAAGAGAGCAUUAAACUCCAAGAGCAGGCCCCCUUCUGAGGUCAGCUGACUUCAUUGGUCACGUGCCCAGGAAAUCGGCCCUGGCACUCACACAUGCCCAGAUGAGAGGGUAAGCUCACCCUGUGGAGCAAAUUUUAACUAAUGGGAGUAAACUCUUCUCCCUCCUUAAUCCAGACUUACUAUCCCUGAGAGCAGGUUCUCGGAAAACCGUCCUGUAAAAAAUAAGUCACACUUGAUUCCAAUUGCAAGUUGUGCAUUUUUGUAUUUGGUCUCUCCUUCUUUUCUUCAUCCGUUUGAGCUGCAUCCCCAUUAAAGCGACAGCACAUGAACCAUUUCCACAGGCUCUGAAUUUUGGGCACCUGAAGCUAAGACCAUCAGUUAACUGAAAAAGCAAGGAAACAAGGAACAUACUCUAAAUAUUUUAUUUUUAUUUAAUGUUUUAUUAAAUGCUAUUUUAAAAUGUUUAGGCAUGCAUUCGUUUGUCAAUUUUCCAAAGGUUGGGUUUUUUUUUUUUCAAAGAUUGGUUUCACUUAGUUAAGUUCUACUUUGUCUUUGUUUAAUAAAUCACAACCAUAAUGCAUCAUUUACAAUUUGUGGACUUGAUUUAUUAAAAGUAAAACAGAAAUUCCCGCUGUGGCACAGUGGCUUAAGAAUCUGACUCCAGGGAGUUCCCGUCGUGGCUCAGCAGUUAAAGAACCUGACUAGCAUCCAUGAGGUCACAGGUUUGACCCCUGGCCUUACUCAGUGGGUUAAGGAUCCGAUGUUGCCGCCAUGAGCUAUGGUGUAGGUAGCAGGCGUGGCUCAGAUCCCGCCUUGCUGUGGCUCUGGAGUAGGCCAGCAGCUACAGCUCUGAUUGGACCCCAAGCCUGGGAACCUCCACAUGCCCUAGAAAAAAAAAAAAAAAA